GAUGAACGCUGGCGGCGUGCCUAAUACAUGCAAGUCGAGCGAACGGACGAGAAGCUUGCUUCUCUGCUGUUAGCGGCGGACGGGUGAGUAACACGUGGAUAACCUACCUAUAAGACUGGGAUAACUUCGGGAAACCGGAGCUAAUACCGGAUAAUAUUUUGAACCGCAUGGUUCAAAAGUGAAAGACGGUCUUGCUGUCACUUAUAGAUGUAUCCGCGCUGCAUUAGCUAGUUGGUAAGGUAACGGCUUACCAAGGCAACGAUGCAUAGCUGACCUGAGAGGGUGAUCAGCCACACUGGAACUGAGACACGGUCCAGACUCCUACGGGAGGCAGCAGUAGGGAAUCUUCCGCAAUGGGCGAAAGCCUGACGGAGCAACGCCGCGUGAGUGAUGAAGGUCUUCGGAUCGUAAAACUCUGUUAUUAGGGAAGAACAUAUGUGUAAGUAACUGUGCACAUCUUGACGGUACCUAAUCAGAAAGCCACGGCUAACUACGUG
rnacentral:rRNA from 1 species